GGGCGCUGGGCACUUGCUCUCCUGGCUCCCAAAGAUGUUAGCAAUAAAGUUUUGCCGCAGAAGAUUUUGGUCUGUGGUGUUCUUCCUGGCCGGUCGUGAGAACGCGUCUAAUAACAAUUGGUGCCGAAUUCCGGGACGAGAAAUUCCGGGACGAGAAAAAAUCCGGGAAGAAAAAACCUGGGAGGAAACUCGGGACGGGAGUUUCACCGGCGCAGGGAAGAUCCCUCAUUCCAGAACCAGAACUGCGGGUCGCGGUAAUAAAGGUUCCCGUAAAGCAGACUGUUAAGAAGGAUUCAACUGCAUGAAUUCAGAACUUUUCAGCACAAAUAACUCAGCAGGGAUGUGAACAAAAGUUUCCGGGAUUGUGUGUUAUUUUCCAUUCAGUAUGUUAAAUUUACUAGGGCAGCUAAAUUGUCAAAAAGUCUUUUUCAGUAUAUGUUACAGAAUUGGAUGGCUGAAUUUGAACAGAUCCUUCGGGAAUUGAGACUUCAGGUCAACUCCACGCGCUUGGACCUGUCGCUGACCAAAGGAUUACCCAAUUGGAUCUCCUCAGCAUUUUCUUUCUUUAAAAAAUGGGUGGGAUUAAUACUAUUUGGAGAUACACUUUGCUGUGGAUUAGUGUUGCUUCUUUGAUUGGUCUGUAAGCUUAAGGCCCAAACUAAGAGAGACAAGGUGGUUAUUGCCCAGGCGCUUGCAGGACUAGAACAUGGAGCUUCCCCUGAUAUAUCUAUGCUUAGGCAAUAGGUCGCUGGCCACUCAGCUCUUAUAUCCCAUGAGGCUAGUCUCAUUGCACGGGAUAGAGUGAGUGUGCUUCAGCAGCCCGAGAGAGUUGCACGGCUAAGCACUGCAAUGGAAAGGCUCUGCGGCAUAUAUGAGCCUAUUCUAGGGAGACAUGUCAUCUUUCAUGAAGGUUCAGUGUCCUAGUUCCCUUCCCCCAGGCAAAACGACACGGGAGCAGGUCAGGGUUGCUCUGGGUAAAAGCCUGUGAGCCUAAGAGCUAAUCCUGUACAUGGCUCCUUUACCUACACACUGGGGAUUUGACCUCUAUCUCCACUCUCAUUAAUAUGGGUGGCCUAUUUGCUCUUAUUAAAAGGAAAGGGGGAGAUGUUGGGAGCCGCCCCCACAUUCGCCGUCACAAGAUGGCGUUGACAUCCUGUGUUCUAAGUGGUAAACAAAUAAUCUGCGCAUGUGCCAAGGGUAUUUACGACUACUUGUACUCGGCGCUGGGCACUUGCUCUCCUGGCUCCCAAAGAUGUUAGCAAUAAAGUUUUGCCGCAGAAGAUUUUGGUCUGUGGUGUUCUUCCUGGCCGGUCGUGAGAACGCGUCUAAUAACAAAUAAUCACUUAGGGAUUCUAUGGGCUCAAAGAAAAGUCCUUCUGUGAACAAGAGGCACCCAAAGGAAGGGAGUCUCAAGUUGUCACUAUCAACUUACAUUUACCUUUCAAGGAUCUGUGGCCCACAUGUCUGGGUCAGGUCCUGCUAUCAGGUGAACACAGAGAGCUGUCAAGACAGGUGGAACGUCUCUGGUGUGGUAUCUGAGUCCAGUAGGUGCUGCAUUUGGCUUGCAUGCUUCCUUUACGUUCCUAUAGAAUCUUCUAGAACUUCAGAUAGAUCGUUCUUUCUGCACACUCUGAACUUUCCCUCCUUGCUUCCUUCUCUUUCCCACAGAUCUUUUGAUCUCUUAGCCUCCCUAUCUCUUUUCUGGCUAAUUCCAGAAUCCUCUGCCUCUCUCUGGUCUCACCUUGAGCCACAAUGAUGACCAUGGUCAGCUCUUUACCAGUUCAAAACACUCCACAACUUUGGCUUUUUUUGCGGUAAGGUCUCUAUUUGUCUCUCUUGAGCUAAGAUCAUGAUCAAGAAAGAUCUUGAGCUCAAGACCUUUCUGC
rnacentral:lncRNA from 1 species